UGUUCUGUAGCUUAGUUGGUUAAAGCGCCGGUCUAGCGAAUACGGAGCCAUGGGUUCGAAUCCCACCAGAACGA
rfam:Aedes albopictus isolate Foshan contig88195, whole genome shotgun sequence.